UACGUAGGGUGCGAGCGUUGUCCGGAAUUAUUGGGCGUAAAAGGGCUCGUAGGCGGUCUGUCGCGUCGGGAGUGAAAAACUCAGGGCUUAACCCUGAGCCUGCUUCCGAUACGGGCAGACUAGAGGUAUGCAGGGGAGAACGGAAUUCCUGGUGUAGCGGUGAAAUGCGCAGAUAUCAGGAGGAACACCGGUGGCGAAGGCGGUUCUCUGGGCAUUACCUGACGCUGAGGAGCGAAAGUGUGGGGAGCGAACAGG
rnacentral:rRNA from 1 species